rnacentral:rRNA from 1 species
UUAAGCGACUAAGCGUACACGGUGGAUGCCCUGGCAGUCAGAGGCGAUGAAGGACGUGCUAAUCUGCGAUAAGCGUCGGUAAGGUGAUAUGAACCGUUAUAACCGGCGAUUUCCGAAUGGGGAAACCCAGUGUGAUUCGUCACACUAUCAUUAACUGAAUCCAUAGGUUAAUGAGGCGAACCGGGGGAACUGAAACAUCUAAGUACCCCGAGGAAAAGAAAUCAACCGAGAUUCCCCCAGUAGCGGCGAGCGAACGGGGAGCAGCCCAGAGCCUGAAUCAGUGUGUGUGUUAGUGGAAGCGUCUGGAAAGGCGUGCGAUACAGGGUGACAGCCCCGUACACAAAAAUGCACAUACUGUGAGCUCGAUGAGUAGGGCGGGACACGUGGUAUCCNNNNNNNNNNNNNNNNNNNNNNNNNNNNNNNNNNNNNNNNNNNNNNNNNNNNNNNNNNNNNNNNNNNNNNNNNNNNNNNGUCUGAAUAUGGGGGGACCAUCCUCCAAGGCUAAAUACUCCUGACUGACCGAUAGUGAACCAGUACCGUGAGGGAAAGGCGAAAAGAACCCCGGCGAGGGGAGUGAAAAAGAACCUGAAACCGUGUACGUACAAGCAGUGGGAGCACGCUUAGGCGUGUGACUGCGUACCUUUUGUAUAAUGGGUCAGCGACUUAUAUUCUGUAGCAAGGUUAACCGAAUAGGGGAGCCGAAGGGAAACCGAGUCUUAACUGGGCGUUAAGUUGCAGGGUAUAGACCCGAAACCCGGUGAUCUAGCCAUGGGCAGGUUGAAGGUUGGGUAACACUAACUGGAGGACCGAACCGACUAAUGUUGAAAAAUUAGCGGAUGACUUGUGGCUGGGGGUGAAAGGCCAAUCAAACCGGGAGAUAGCUGGUUCUCCCCGAAAGCUAUUUAGGUAGCGCCUCGUGAAUUCAUCUCCGGGGGUAGAGCACUGUUUCGGCAAGGGGGUCAUCCCGACUUACCAACCCGAUGCAAACUGCGAAUACCGGAGAAUGUUAUCACGGGAGACACACGGCGGGUGCUAACGUCCGUCGUGAAGAGGGAAACAACCCAGACCGCCAGCUAAGGUCCCAAAGUCAUGGUUAAGUGGGAAACGAUGUGGGAAGGCCCAGACAGCCAGGAUGUUGGCUUAGAAGCAGCCAUCAUUUAAAGAAAGCGUAAUAGCUCACUGGUCGAGUCGGCCUGCGCGGAAGAUGUAACGGGGCUAAACCAUGCACCGAAGCUGCGGCAGCGACGCUUAUGCGUUGUUGGGUAGGGGAGCGUUCUGUAAGCCUGUGAAGGUGUGCUGUGAGGUAUGCUGGAGGUAUCAGAAGUGCGAAUGCUGACAUAAGUAACGAUAAAGCGGGUGAAAAGCCCGCUCGCCGGAAGACCAAGGGUUCCUGUCCAACGUUAAUCGGGGCAGGGUGAGUCGACCCCUAAGGCGAGGCCGAAAGGCGUAGUCGAUGGGAAACAGGUUAAUAUUCCUGUACUUGGUGUUACUGCGAAGGGGGGACGGAGAAGGCUAUGUUGGCCGGGCGACGGUUGUCCCGGUUUAAGCGUGUAGGCUGGUUUUCCAGGCAAAUCCGGAAAAUCAAGGCCGAGGCGUGAUGACGAGGCACUACGGUGCUGAAGCAACAAAUGCCCUGCUUCCAGGAAAAGCCUCUAAGCAUCAGGUAACAUCAAAUCGUACCCCAAACCGACACAGGUGGUCAGGUAGAGAAUACCAAGGCGCUUGAGAGAACUCGGGUGAAGGAACUAGGCAAAAUGGUGCCGUAACUUCGGGAGAAGGCACGCUGAUACGUAGGUGAAGCGACUUGCUCGUGGAGCUGAAAUCAGUCGAAGAUACCAGCUGGCUGCAACUGUUUAUUAAAAACACAGCACUGUGCAAACACGAAAGUGGACGUAUACGGUGUGACGCCUGCCCGGUGCCGGAAGGUUAAUUGAUGGGGUUAGCGCAAGCGAAGCUCUUGAUCGAAGCCCCGGUAAACGGCGGCCGUAACUAUAACGGUCCUAAGGUAGCGAAAUUCCUUGUCGGGUAAGUUCCGACCUGCACGAAUGGCGUAAUGAUGGCCAGGCUGUCUCCACCCGAGACUCAGUGAAAUUGAACUCGCUGUGAAGAUGCAGUGUACCCGCGGCAAGACGGAAAGACCCCGUGAACCUUUACUAUAGCUUGACACUGAACAUUGAGCCUUGAUGUGUAGGAUAGGUGGGAGGCUUUGAAGUGUGGACGCCAGUCUGCAUGGAGCCGACCUUGAAAUACCACCCUUUAAUGUUUGAUGUUCUAACGUGGACCCGUGAUCCGGGUUGCGGACAGUGUCUGGUGGGUAGUUUGACUGGGGCGGUCUCCUCCUAAAGAGUAACGGAGGAGCACGAAGGUUGGCUAAUCCUGGUCGGACAUCAGGAGGUUAGUGCAAUGGCAUAAGCCAGCUUGACUGCGAGCGUGACGGCGCGAGCAGGUGCGAAAGCAGGUCAUAGUGAUCCGGUGGUUCUGAAUGGAAGGGCCAUCGCUCAACGGAUAAAAGGUACUCCGGGGAUAACAGGCUGAUACCGCCCAAGAGUUCAUAUCGACGGCGGUGUUUGGCACCUCGAUGUCGGCUCAUCACAUCCUGGGGCUGAAGUAGGUCCCAAGGGUAUGGCUGUUCGCCAUUUAAAGUGGUACGCGAGCUGGGUUUAGAACGUCGUGAGACAGUUCGGUCCCUAUCUGCCGUGGGCGCUGGAGAACUGAGGGGGGCUGCUCCUAGUACGAGAGGACCGGAGUGGACGCAUCACUGGUGUUCGGGUUGUCAUGCCAAUGGCACUGCCCGGUAGCUAAAUGCGGAAGAGAUAAGUGCUGAAAGCAUCUAAGCACGAAACUUGCCCCGAGAUGAGUUCUCCCUGACCCUUUAAGGGUCCUGAAGGAACGUUGAAGACGACGACGUUGAUAGGCCGGGUGUGUAAGCGCAGCGAUGCGUUGAGCUAACCGGUACUAAUGAACCGUGAGGCUUAACCUU